rnacentral:lncRNA from 1 species
UAAUACAUAUACAGUGAUACCUCGAGAUACGAGUUUAAUUCAUUCCCUAACCUUGCUCGUAUCUCAAAGCAAUUUUGCCCAUUGAAAUGCCAUUAAUCCGUUCCGUCCCCAAAAAUGCUACCCUCAAUUGUUUUUGUUGUGUGUUUUUGAAUAAGAAAAAUGUAUUUAUAAAUGACAAAUACUAUAUAAAAACAUAAUAAAAGAGAUUGUAAAGCAGAAAAAAUUGCUUUUAUAAAGUGUACAUGCAUAUUUGUAUUUUGGUUACUUAAAUGCAACUUACACACAACUUAAAUGCUACUAUAUGCUUAAUUUUAGUCACUGCUUUUCUCUUCACUGGUCUUUGCUUUUUUAGCCAGAUUUAAAAACUGUCCAAGGAGGUUUGUUUCUUCCUUUUCAGAAUGCUGCAGAAAUGAGUUAGGCAAGUCUCAUUAAAUAACUCCGAUGUAAGACCAGUUUCAACUUUUUCGGGGUGUUUCUUUUCCACGAACUGUGAAAUUCUCUUCCACAUUCCCAAGAAUUCUUUUAUCUCAUUUGUAGAGAUAACCUCCUCCACCUCUGGUUCUUCUCUGAAACCAAUUUCUUGCAGUACGCCCGAAUGCUCACCCAUCACCAGGUCCAUGGAUUUUCUCAGAGGCACAAUCUCCUCCUCCGCUGGCACUUCGAGUUCGAAUCCUUCAAAGCUACGGACUUAGCCGACAGCACAAUUUUCGGCUAUAGACUUCGAGGCUCGGUGGGUGAACGGGAGCAUUGUCGAGGACGAGAAGGGCUUGCAAGGCCAUUCCUCGUAUCUCAAAUAACUCGUAUGUAAGGGCAUUCGUAUCUCAAGGUUUAACGACAAAAGUUGUUGGUUUGAAGAGGAAGAAAGGUAAUAGGCCCACUCCUUUUACAAGAAAAGCAGUUUUGGAGGGAAAAAAAUAUGCUUAUGAACUGCUUUGUAGAUGAAGAGACAUUAUCGAAGACCAUAAAUAAAGGCAUUUUGAAGAAGAAGCUGCUAUAGAAUGUGGUAUAGAGAAGGUUUCUUCUUGUAUGGAAUCAUGUGUUGAAAUUAAUGAAGUGAAGCUGUUCUUUACUUCUGAUGGGUGGCUAUUGGUUAAAAAUGUGAUUUUACAAAAUCGAGAAUGAUGACAUGGGAAUGUUAUUCAUGCAAACAAGAUUGCGGUAUGGUGAUACUAUUUUGUGCGACUCUUAUUCGCAGUGGUAUCACUAUUCCUGUGUCGGCCCUCUGCAGCCUCCAGAGCAAAAGUAUUGUUCAAAAUCUAAACUUUUUAGACUUUUUUUUUUUAGCUUAUUUUGAUUUUCUUCCUGUGAGAUAUAUUUUGAAUAGAUAUUUGUCAUGUGUAAGCCAAUUUUGAAUAAAUAUUUGUCAUGUGUAAGCCAACUUUAUAUUUUUUUUAAUUCUGAAACAAACUUUAUUUCUUAAUUAGUAAUUUUUAUUGCUUUUUUUUAAAAAAAAAUAUUUGUUUAACCAUUGUCAAAUUUCAAGUGAAUGUCCACAUAAAAACUCAUCAUUUAUCUUUCAUUAUUAAUUUCUGAUGGACUUCAAUGACAUAAAUUUUCCCACCAAGAUGUUAAAUAAUUAAGUUUCUAGGUAUAGGUGUUACCUAUUUUGAUAGAAUAGUACUUUACUUUCAAUAAAUUUGCAUUCAGAAUGUUCCUUUUAACUGUAAUUUAUGUAGUAUAUGUUUCUUUCAACUUUGUGAUUGCUUGCUUCUAAUCCUAAUUGUAUAAAUUUAUAUUUAGUUUUUUAAAUCUGCUACAUUUUUGUCCAAUAAAAGUUUAGUUUCUUCCUGCA